CCUACGGGUGGCAGCAGUGGGGGAAUAUUGCGCAAUGGGGGGAAACCCUGACGCAGCGAUGCCGCGUGGGUGAAUAAGGCCUUCGGGUUGUAAAGCCCUUUCAGUGGGGAAGAUGAUGACGGUACCCACAGAAGAAGCCCCGGCUAACUCCGUGCCAGCAGCCGCGGUAAUACGGAGGGGGCGAGCGUUGUUCGGAAUUAUUGGGCGUAAAGGGCGCGUAGGCGGUUUAUUAAGUCAGGAGUGAAAGCCUCAGGCUCAACCUGGGGAACUGCUUUUGAAACUGGUAGACUAGAGUCCGGCAGAGGAUGGUGGAAUUCCCCGUGUAGAGGUGAAAUUCGUAGAUAUGGGGAGGAAGACCAGAGGCGAAGGCGACCAUCUGGACCGGUACUGACGCUAAGGCGCGAAAGCGUGGGGAGCAAACAGGAUUAGAUACCCCAGUAGUC
rnacentral:rRNA from 1 species